rnacentral:lncRNA from 1 species
CUUUGGGAACUAACAUCUCACUGAUUACCUGAUUUAUAAUGUAGGUACUUUGCCGGCCAAUUAAUUACUUUAAUUAAGAACUCCAAUGUGACAGAAUAAUGUUGGCGGUGUUUUUUCUGUGGGAUAUAUCAUGGAUGUUCUCGGACUGAUUAGGUGGGGAUUGACCCAAUCAUCCGGGACGGUUUUUAUGUUGUGAUGCAUUUCGCAGACAUUAUAGCGUUCAAUUCUGUCUGUUUCAAAAUGUAAGAUAUCUUCUGUUCUAUUCUGCUCGGACCUGUGUCUUUGAUAGGUCAGUUAAUGUUUUAUGAUAUUGUAUUUUUGUUUCAUGUUUUGAUCUGCCUACCUUCCAAUUUAAAAUGCUUAAUAUCUUAUUACCGUAAUGUAAUUUUAAGUUCUGCUAUAAAAGUUCAAUUGCCAUCUUUUAUUGAACAUUAUAUAAAUGUUUUUAUGUAAAGCACUUUUGAAAGUAUUUUUAUAUGAAAAGAGUGCUAUAUAAAUGUGGUAUAUAAUAAUAAGAGGAAAUUGCUUUACGUAAAGAACAAACUUCAGCUGUGGAUAAACAAGCAGAUUUAGAGGUGUAAAUAGAGUUAUUAAAGCAGGAGAGUGAAGCAGCGGUUUUAGCAGCUGAAGCAAGUGACUUGAUGUUAUCUAGAUUGUUAGUUUUCAAUGAUUUACCUGUAAAUUACAAGGCCUGGACUGGCAGUUUCAAAUCAGUGGCUAAUGAAAUGCAUCUUUCUCCUUUAGAAGAAACUGACUUCUUGCUUAAAUGGUUAGGUGUAAGUUCUAAAAGGCAUGCAUUGAGUUUGAAAACUGCAUACACCAAUAACCCAGAUGAAGGACUUCUUCAAAUUUAGAGUCAACUCGAUGAAAGGUUUGGAGCAGCAGAAAAUGUUUUCAGUGCUACAAUGAAAAAGCUGACUUUGUUCCCAAAAUUGACAUAUAAGGACCCAGUCAAGGUGUAUGAUUUAUCGGACAUUCUGUCAGAGUUGGAAGGGCUUAUGCAAGAUCCUAGGUAUACUACAACAUUGUCGUAUUUCAAUUCAUCAGUCGGCAUUAAUCCGAUUGUAGCUAAGUUACCUCAUAGUCUCCAAGAAAAAUGGAUCUCCCAUGUGACCAAUGUGACCACAUACAAGAACAAACAUGAUGUAACUUUUCCACAAUUUAGUGUUUUCUCUGAAUUCGUUAGGAAAUAUAGUAAGAUAUGGAAUGAUUCUAGUUUUACCUUUGAGUAAAAUACACCCCGUCAAAAUUCAGGAAUGUUGCAGUCUAAACCGCAGCAAAGAGGUCGAUGGUUGUUGUCUUCAAGCAAAACAGAAGUCUGUCACUAAUUUGUGUCCUAUACAUAGUGCUCCUCAUUCGUUGGAGGAUUGUCGUGUAUUCAAAUCAAAGAAUUUAGAAGACAGACGCAAGUUUAUCCGAGAAAAUAAGUUGUGUUUUAAGUGUUUAUCUCCUAAUCAUGUCAUUAAAGAAUGUAAGGCACAAGUCAUAUGUAGUCAUUGUUCAAGUAAAGGUCAUUGUUCGAUCAUGCACAUUCCAAAAGCAAAUAGGAAUGGUGGGGAGAACAGCCCAAAUCAAGUGCCUAAAAAAGGACACUUUGCAUUUACUAUAAAUUCUUUAAGAUAUAUUUAUAGACCAGAAUGAUCCUUUUGCAAAGUAUUACAUUUCAAUACAAAAAAUAAUUAUAUUUCAUUAAUUUUUUAUGAUAUUUUGCACUUAAAUCACUUUUAGGAUGAAAUAAUAAUAUCAGAGUGUCCUUUUCAAUUUUAUAUGAUUUUUAGCGUCAAAACCACAUUUGAUAUACAUUAGUGUACUUCAGCAAUCUGAAUCGUAACGCAUGUUUUAAAGCUCUACAAUUGUUUUCAAAUUUAUCUUGGUUGCGCAACAGAGGUAGAAAGAAAAGAUGUAUUUUCAAUGUUUUUUAAACUAUUUAAUUUUACUUGAAUAGAAAUAAAUAAGUAGUAACAAUUAAUCAACAAAUGAGUAAUAACAAAUAAGUCAUAAGAAGAAAAUAAAUGUCACUCCAGGGCUUCCGUAAUAGUUAAUACAAUUUAAUUUAAAUGUAUGAUAUAACUCGUUCAAACUAAGGAUGAAUAUAAAAACACUGUUGAUUAAAACUUAAAUUAUUUUUUUAACAAAAUCCUGAUCAUUCUAGUGCAUUGGUAUAGUCAAAUAAUGCACUAUAGAAGACAUAUGAUAUGAACUACAUAUAUUUGUAAAUAUUGAGAUUCUUUGCAAAAUUAUGUUGACCAUCAAUUGGUAAAAUCUUGAAAAAUCUUGAAAACUGCAAAACAUAUGCUAUAUCAAAAGUCAAAGAUUGACAAAGGUCCAUUCCUAAAAGUAUGAUCAAAUGAAUCUUUUCCCAAAUACAUUUAAGAAAUUUCGAUUAAACGAACUUAUGAUAACAUAAGAAGUAUCCAAACAAUUUCAGAUUCUUAUAAUAUCAAGUCAAUAGGUAAGAUAAUUGUCCAUUAAAAGUCAACAAAUACAAACAAUUUUAAAUGAUUUCACUAAAAUAGCUUUUCAGAAGUCUGAGAAAACGUAUAAGUAUUUCCAUUUUAUUUUGAGGCUUACAGCGUGUGUUUUUCCAUUUCUAUCAAAGACAAAUCAAUAUUUCUUUCAAUAGUGAAGUGAGGAAAUUACAGUUUUUUAUUUUUUUUACUUGACUGUGGUUGGUGGUUGGGAGGGAGAGAGAGUCUUUUAAAUAUACCUAUUUCAGUCGUUUUAUAGAUUUUCUAUGGGUAACUUUUGGUGAAAUUAAUUUACCAGAAAAUGACCUCUCCCUCCUUGAAAUGAUUUUUAAAGUAACUAUUACUUUAACAUUUUAAAUACAGUAAAUCUAUUUUAUUCAGUAAGUAGAGAUAGCUACAGUUAUGUCAAUCCCUUGAUUGAUUAAAGACACGGAAUACGAAGUAAUUAAUGUAUAUCAAUUUUGCUUGUAUCUUAAAUUAGUUACUGUCUCAUACGAAGGUUUGAUGGAAUAUUUUGAAAGAGUUUCCUAGUUGCUACACUUUGAUGGUAAAACACGAAAUUCUAGACCAAAAAUAUAAUUUAAUUAACCGUUUAUGAACAUUUAAAAUCAAAAAUUGAUCAGAUUUAAAAAAAAAAUAAUUGAAUUAAAUUAAAUCUUACCUUUCCUUUAUUCGAAUACAAAAUGAUGUUGUUAAUUCAUACUCUGAAAAUAGUCUUAAAUAAUUACAAGUCAGAAAACUUAUAUGAAGCAAAGUAAAAUGCCUGUUACUGUUAUUUUAUCUUCACAGAUACAGGAUAUAGAAAUUUCAAACAUAAUAUAGGCCACUUCAAAGACAAAAGUUCUCUUUCACAAGUGCAGUAGCUUCGUUUCUGAAAAGGGGUAUUUCACAUUUUGUAGUUAUAAAUGUUUAUCUUUUUAUAACUAAUUAUGUACAACAAUUUGUAGUCUCACUUUAACACGAUUAUAAUUAAAUAACGUACAAUUAGUUUGUCUUGUAUUGUAAGUUAAGAGGUCAGGAGAUCAUACUUUUGUGAAAAUGGACAUUUUGGGAAAUUCAUUCAUUUUAAAUUUAGAUAGACUUUGAAGGUGUAAAUAUUAGAAACAUUUGAAAUUUUGAGCCGUUCGCAUUCAAACUGUAUUAUAAAACAGUCAAAUAGGCAUGUUAAAACAUACUGAAUAAGGUGAGGCAAUUAGUGCACAAAAAAGUUUCAAUUUCCAGCAUUUGGGUCAUACUUCUUUAAAGGGUAGGCUUUCUAUAUAAUGUAGGCACUUAGUUUAGAUACGUAGGCAAACACAUAUCCUGUUGCUAGUGAUUGUAAAUAAUUACCUUUCGAGAAUCACCCACUCACUUCAAACUUUAUAUCCAAGCAGUAAUUUUAAAAAUGACACUAUAAACAGCUGAAAAACUUUAAUAAACUAAAUAAAAAAAUUUAUAAAAUGAUAUUCAUUUUGUAAUUUACAUAUGUAUUUAUCCGAGAUAUUAAUAAAUUACCAAUCGACAGUGUAUACUCUAGUUUCGGCCGAAGACACUACUCAGCGAGUUUCAAACGUGGAUUUAGUUUGAAGAAACAUAACCAAGACAAAAGUAAAUGUCCAUUUAGCAUUAAAGCUCUUUAUGUACCAAAAUUUUGCAAAUGCCACUUUGAAAGGUGAUUUCAGGAAGAUUGAGGAAAUAAUUUAGUUAAGCUCUUUGGGCUUUUUAAAUGAGUAGUUAAUUAAGAUAGGAACAAAAUCCCAAUUAAUCAGCUAUGGCUUAAAUUAACAACAAGAAGAUGUCGUAAUGGCCCAUUUCAAUGUUUAUUUGAAAAAAAAAUCAACAACAAAAAACAAAACAACGGCAUCUUCUUAUGAAACAAACACAUAUACUUUAGUACUGAAUCAUGUGCACUUUUCAAGAUAUAAGCCCAAUUUAAACGUAUGUUUUGCUCCAUAACUAACAUUUUCUAGCAUUUGUACAUGUGAGUCUUGAUCUAGAUCAUAAGAGAAUUAAAUAUAUAUUUGGAACACAACUAGUUAUGUAUGAACUUGUGUUCAUUUCCUUUUAAAAUCUGAAGAUAGAACAAAAGAGCAUAACGUAACAAACAACUAUUAAAAAUAGAGAGCAAUAUUUUUUAAAGUAGCUAUUCAAGUACUUUGAAAAUAUUAACUAGCUGUAAAGUUCAAUUUUUAUAUGCAAGAAUAGUCCAAAUUCUUUUCUAGUCAAAUUUAAAUCCAAACGGUAAUAAUUCAGAACUUUUCACAAGAUCCAAACUUAAUUAUGUAAAUCCAAAUAAUACAAAUACAUUCCUCAAAUAUAUGUAUUUAUAGUAUCAACAACAAUAAGGUAAUCCAUCAAAUGUUAAUAGUCUAAACUGGAAUUAUCUUAUUAUUAAAGAUACAGUAAAGUUUCCCAAUAACACAUUACUUUAGGUUCUGCCAUAACCAAGAACUAUCAAAACUUCGAAGAUAAUUCUACACUAUGCUUAUUAGUAUUGUGGUAGAACAAUCUGGAACACCAUGGAAUUUAAAUAACUUAUUGACAUACAAGAUGUCUCAAACUAGGUCAGAUAACAAUGUCAAAUCAAUGAAGUAAAACUUCAAGAUGAAAUGAUAUAUACAUAAGAAUAUGAAAUAUGCCUUUAUCGGUUGUGUCCUACAGUCAUAUAUAACUUUUGUUUUUGUUUGUUUUAAUGGAAUGUGAUAUUCAGAUUAGAAAUUGUCAAAAACUUGUCAUGAUUAUAGUUCAAGAAAAUAUUCAAGUUCUAUUUCUGCGAGCUUAAUGAAACCAUAGUAGUUUUUUAUUACGCUAGAAGCAAAUAUAUUUAAAUAACCUCUGUUUUUAUAAACAAGAUGACGAUGUAGCGCUGAUAUGGUCAUUGCUUCUUUUGGAUACACUUGCCGAUCAAAUGAUAAUUUAUAUAGGAAUGAUGCACAUUUGUACGUAUGUAAUAGCGACUGCAGAAGCCAGCGGGAAUGACUGGGAACUAGGUCGAAGAUUUUUUCUCUCUGAACAGCAUUUUGCCUGCAUAUUACUAUAACAUUGUAUGACGAAUAUUAUAGAUAUUGGCAUUUGAAAUAGAAAAGAAAUAUAAUGCAACAAGUUCUAUUCGCAAAAAUAACAUUUGAGCUGUUUUAAUGUCUUUAUAUUGGUAUCGGUUUAGUUACAUUACCAUAUAUUAAAAAAACUUAAAGAUUUAAAUACACAGAGAAGUAUGUAUCUAAAGCCUAAUUGUCGAAUCAUGACCUUCAACUUUACAAGUUUAUGCAUAACUUAAACGGUCUCAGAUAUGUAUAUUGAAAUCACACACACGUUAUUUCGGUUUGGUUAACUGUUUGUUGAAUAUUCAAUAAAAUGAGGAAACUAGGGAUGGCUGAUAGGUAUUUUUGUGACAAUUCAAAGUAAUUGUUUUCAUGAUGAUAAUUUCACUCCUAAUAUAUUGGCCUUCUGAAUCAGGUAAAGACAGCAAUUAUUAUACUUUUCUUCAUUAUGAAAAUGAGAGUAACAUAAAUAAUCAAGAAAAACAGUAUGAUCUACGCGUCAUUGUUAUUGUUUAUGACAGGGCGCAUUCACUUCACAGAUUACUAAGAUCUCUAAAUGAUGCAGAAUAUUUUUCUGAUUUAAUCAAAGUUGAAGUUUGGAUUGACAGAUCUGAAAACGGCAACAUCAACGAAGCUAUUUUAAAUACAGCGAGGGACUACGUGUUUAAGCACGGAGUCUACGACGUUAAUUUGUAUCCAUAUCACGUUGGAAUCUACGGACAAAGGUUUACAAGUUAUAAACCAAACUUGAAUUCAUCAGAAAUUGCUGUAAUUUUAGAAGAUGAUUUAACUGUUUCUAAAUACUUCUGGAAAUGUUUAAAACUCGUUCAUCAGACUUAUGAUAAUUACACAUAUAUUAAUGGCUAUGCUUUGCAAGGUAUUACAACAACUUUUGGUGUUAAAAAUACGCACACACUUCAAGGACCUACUUCGGAUUAUGCUUUUCUUUUCCCAGUUAUUAGUACUUGGGGAUUUUCACCUAACAAAAAAAAAAUGGAAAAAUUUUUUCGACUGGUAUAUCUUUGGAGAUGCCCGAUCAACAAUGCCUUAUAUUCCUGGACACCUUGCAACAGUUUGGUUUAAAGGACUUAGUAAGAAAGGAAGAUCCAAUACGAUGUGGGAAAUUUGGCAUAUAUAUUAUGCUUCGAAGCAUAAGGAAUACACACUUUAUUGUAACUAUCCAAAUCACACAGGGUUAACAACUAAUUGGAUGGAAAAGGGCUUACAUUAUACCACAAGUUUAGGAGCUUCAAGCCCUCUACUGACAGUGUGGAAGAAAGAAUAUGAAAGCUUUCCAAAGAAACCAAUAUACGUAGAUAUUUCUGGAAAAGUAAUUGAGACUAGAAAAUCUUCUUGAUAAGCUUGAAAACGAUUCAUCGUGUUGUGAUAGUGUAACUGGUUUGAAAAUCAUGACUAUGUCUUACAAACACAAAUCCAUCUUUUUGGUAAACAUUAAAACCACUUAUUAGUACAAUGUUGAGCUUGAUUUUCCGGCCAAAAUGUGGUGCAGACAAAUUUCACUCGGCAAUCAAACAAUACAUUUCUUCUCUAGUAUAUAAAGAAACAUCCAUUAACUAUAUUUAAUAAAACAAAAGUAGGUAAGUAAUUAAGCUAAUAAAACAAUACUGUAAGGAAAUUUCAUUUUCAUUUAUAUAUAGAUUAAGAUUGUUUACAGGUUUUACAGGUAAACGCUCGUGAUGUUUUUUACUUUCUCUGUUUCAGAGGCUUGACCCAAGUCAAAUAUGCGGAAUAUAUUCACUGCAAACUUUAGAUAAUAGUCCAAUGCUUCUAAUCCUCGUUGAAACUAUAGAAAAAAGAUUGAAUUAUUUAGUAGAUAUUACAUUCAAUGAACACUUUCAUGUAUUUGCAUUAUUUUGUACUUCUUUAAAUGACAUAGGUAUUUUUUAUAAAACCAUUAUCUUAAGUUUAUAGCAGAAAACAUAAUAUUUGUGAAGUUCAGAAAUGCAAAGGACAAAAAACAUGUGUGCCAAACUCGUUUUAAGACUCAGCAAGUACGACAGUUCAAAACAAGCUUUGUUCCGACUACAUUGGCUUCCUAUCAAAGCUAGAACUGAUUUUAAGAUUUUAACUGUCAUGUUGAAAUGUUCAGUCGGCUAAGCUUUAUCUUACUUGAUUGAAUUAUUAUCGGAACGAGCACAAAGACGUAGUUUAAGGUCUUCAGACUCUGUCACAGGUUGUUAAGAGGUACCAUUUAACAAACGUAAAACAUUUAGUGAUAGAAGUUUUCAAACUGUAGGGCCGAAACUAUAGAACAAACUACCAGCAGACGUGAGAAAUUCUGAUUCAGUUGACACGUUUAAGAAAAUGCUCGAAACACUUUUUAGAAGCUUUGAAGUAUGGUUUUGAUUUUUUCUCUGUUGAUGGACUGAAUAUGAUAGAAACGCUGAAUAUAAUCUACUAUGUGGUGUGAUCGACGUAUGUUUAAUACAAAAUGUUGUAAUUUGCACUGUAUAAUAAUUUUGUCAAAUAUGUCGUGUAUACCAUUCUGUAUAUAUUUUAUCAUUUUUCUUUUAAUUUAAUAUACAACGCCAGGGAAUAUACUAUGUGUAAAAUUAGGCGUUUAAUCAAAUAAUUUAGAAGCAGUUUCAUUUAUUUUUUUUCAGCUUUUUUUUUGUAGAGUGUGUUCGCUGUCAUUUUGUUUGUUUAUUUCUUCAGCCAAUAAUGAUUGUGUAAGGAAUGAUGAGCUUCUGCUUUUUAUAGUUAUUUUCUAACAAUUGAUCAGGAGCACGAUUAUGAAUUGUAAAAUGAGCUAUAAAAGAUAUAUAUAUGUAAA